rnacentral:rRNA from 1 species
GAUGAACGCUAGCUACAGGCUUAACACAUGCAAGUCGAGGGGUAACGAGAGGAAAGCUUGCUUUCCUUGUCGACGACCGGCGCACGGGUGAGUAACGCGUAUCCAACCUGCCCCCAACUAGGGAAUAACCUUGCGAAAGUAAGACUAAUACCCUAUAAUUUCCUCAGAUGACAUCUGACGAGGAAUAAAGAUUUAUCGGUUGUGGAUGGGGAUGCGUCUGAUUCGCUUGUUGGCGGGGUAACGGCCCACCAAGGCAACGAUCAGUAGGGGUUCGGAGCGAAACGUCCCCCAAAUUUGAUCCGAGACACGGUGCUAACCCCGACGGGAGGAAGCAGUAAUGAAUAUUGGUCAAUGGGCUGAAGCCUGAACGAGCCAAGUAGUGUUCAGGAUGACGGCCCUAUGUGUUGUAAACUGCUGUUAUAGAAGAAUAAAGUUAGCCACGUGUGGUUAGUUGUAGGUACUCUAUGAAUAAGCACCGGCUAAUUCCGUGCCAGCAGCCGCAGUAA